rnacentral:rRNA from 1 species
UACGUAGGGCGCAAGCGUUGUCCGGAAUUAUUGGGCGUAAAGAGCUCGUAGGCGGCCUGUUACGUCUGCUGUGAAAUCCCGGGGCUUAACCCCGGGCGUGCAGUGGAUACGGGCAGGCUGGAGGCAGGCAGGGGAGAACGGAAUUCCCGGUGUAGCGGUGAAAUGCGCAGAGAUCUGGAGGAACACCGGUGGCGAAGGCGGAUCUCUGGGCCGAUACUGACGCUGAGGAGCGAAAGCGUGGGGAGCGAACAGG